GGCGGAGAGCCAAUGUCGGAUGUACUGCACAAUCUU
rnacentral:tRNA from 1 species